UGGGUCGGCCGGACGGUCGCGUCGCACGCGGUUCGCCGCAUGCGCCGAGGAACGUCCGGGCUCCACAGGGCAGGGCGGUGGGUAACACCCACCCGGAGUGAUCCGCGAGACAGUGCCACAGAGAGCAGACCGCCGGCGUGAGCCGGUAAGGGUGAAAGGGCGGUGUAAGAGACCACCGGGAUGCUGGUGACAGCAUCCGCACGGCAAACCUCGCCCGGAGCAAGGCCAGACAGGGGAUGAUGACGCGGCCCGCCGAGUCCCCGGGUAGGCCGCUGGAACGGCACGGCAACGUGUCGUCGAGAGAGAUGACCGUCGAAGGGGCGCACGCCCCGGAACAGAACCCGGCGUACAGGCCGGCCCAUUCG
rnacentral:RNase_P_RNA from 1 species